rnacentral:rRNA from 1 species
GACGAACGCUGGCGGCGUGCUUAACACAUGCAAGUCGAACGGAAAGGCCCUGCUUUUGUGGGGUGCUCGAGUGGCGAACGGGUGAGUAACACGUGAGUAACCUGCCCUUGACUUUGGGAUAACUUCAGGAAACUGGGGCUAAUACCGGAUAGGAGCUCCUGCUGCAUGGUGGGGGUUGGAAAGUUUCGGCGGUUGGGGAUGGACUCGCGGCUUAUCAGCUUGUUGGUGGGGUAGUGGCUUACCAAGGCUUUGACGGGUAGCCGGCCUGAGAGGGUGACCGGCCACAUUGGGAAUGAGAUACGGCCCAGACUCCUACGGGAGGCAGCAGUGGGGAAUAUUGCACAAUGGGCGGAAACCUGAUGCAGCAACGCCGCGUGCGGGAUGACGGCCUUCGGGUUGUAAACCGCUUUCGCCUGUGACGAAGCGUGAGUGACGGUAAUGGGUAAAGAAGCACCGGCUAACUACGUG